rnacentral:rRNA from 1 species
AUUGAACGCUGGCGGCAGGCCUAACACAUGCAAGUCGAACGAGCGGCGGACGGGUGAGUAAUGUCUGGUAAACUGCCUGAUGGGUGGGGAUAAAUACUGGAAACGGUAGCUAAUACAGAAUACCCUCGAAAGUGCCCAGAUGGGAUUAGCUAGUAGGUGGGGUAAAGGCUCACCUAGGCGACGAUCCCUAGCGGGUCUGAGAGGAUGGCCAGCCACACUGGAACUGAGACACGGUCCAGACUCCUACGGGAGGCAGCAGUGGGGAAUAUUGCACAAUGGGCGCAAGCCUGAUGCAGCCAUGCCGCGUGUAUGAAGAAGGCCGUCGGGUUGUAAAGUACUUUCAGCGGGGAGGCGUUACCCGCAGAAGAAGCACCGGCUAACUCCGUGCCAGCAGCCGCGGUAAUUC